rnacentral:rRNA from 1 species
GACAGGGGGGGCAAGCGUUGCUCGGAAUCACUGGGCGUAAAGGGUGCGUAGGCGGGUCUUUAAGUCAGGGGUGAAAUCCUGGAGCUCAACUCCAGAACUGCCUUUGAUACUGAAGAUCUUGAGUUCGGGAGAGGUGAGUGGAACUGCGAGUGUAGAGGUGAAAUUCGUAGAUAUGGGGGAGAACACCGGUGGCGAAGGCAGCUCACUGGGACGAUACUGACGCUGAGGAGCGAAAGCCAUGGGGAG